GGGGGUCAGCCGUUAGAGAGAGCGGCGGACUGGUGAGUAACGCGUGGGUGACCUACCCUGAGGAUGGGAUAGCCAUUAGAAAUAGUGGGUAAUACCGAAUAAGCUUGUUACGCGACGGCGUAGCAAGGAAAGGCGCUUUGGCGCCGCCUUUGGAUGGGCCCGCGUCCCAUUAGGUAGUUGGCGGGGUAAAGGCCUGCCAAGCCAGAGAUGGGUAGCCGGCCUGAGAGGGUGAACGGCCACACUGGGACUGAGAUACGGCCCAGACUCCUACGGGAGGCAGCAGCUAAGAAUAUUCCGCAAUGGGCGAAGGCCUGACGGAGCGACGCCGCGUGUAUGAAGAAGGCCGGAAGGUUGUAAAGUACUUUUAUUGCUGAAGAAUAAUCUGGGGAGGGAAUGCCCUUGAGAUGACGUUAGGCAAUGAAUAAGCCCCGGCUAAUUACGUGCCAGCAGCCGCGGUAACACGUAAGGGGCGAGCGUUGUUCGGAAUUAUUGGGCGUAAAGGGCGCGUAGGCGGUUAUAUAAGUCUGGUGUGAAAUGCCGGGGCUCAACCCCGGGACUGCAUGGGAAACUGUAUAACUAGAGUCACGGAGGGGGAGUUGGAAUUCCUGGUGUAGGGGUGAAAUCUGUAGAUAUCAGGAAGAACACCGGUGGCGAAGGCGAAC
rnacentral:rRNA from 1 species